ACGCUCGACACCUACGGAAGGCAGCAGUAGGGAAUCUUCCACAAUGGACGCAAGUCUGAUGGAGCAACGCCGCGUGAGUGAAGAAGGUCUUCGGAUCGUAAAACUCUGUUGUUAGAGAAGAACACGAGUGAGAGUAACUGUUCAUUCGAUGACGGUAUCUAACCAGCAAGUCACGGCUAACUACGUGCCAACAGCCGCGGUAAUCUGAGCGGGCUGGCAAGGC
rnacentral:rRNA from 1 species